rnacentral:lncRNA from 1 species
ACAUAUGAAGAAGGAUGUGUUUGCUUCCCCUUCCACCACGAUGGUGCAUUUCCUGAGGCCUCCCCAUCCUUGCUGAAUUUAGAUGGUACGUCUUUCCUUCCUGUGCUGCCUGGGGUUGAGGAGAAGUGGCAUAGAGAUACAAGCCUCCUGGGUGAUGAGAAAGACAGAGAAGCAUUUUUCAUAGAGAGUUGCCAGGAUUGCUUAGCAUCCAGAUCAACCAUGAAAGGCACCAGGAGAAUGAACAUCUGCAUUUUUCUUGUCCAUGAUUCUUCUACAUAAUGCUACUGAAGCGAAGAUAAUCUUUAAUUGUAGAAACAAGAAGAGAAGCAAAUAUAUUGCUAGUAUCCAGAAGCUCCUUCACAGUUUUCAGAUAAUGCUAAUGAGCUAGUUCCUGGUUUGUAUCACAAACUUCUCCCAAAUUCUUCCCCCAAACAUUCCUUCAUGGUGGAGCUAAUUAGACUAUUGCAACUCAACCUUUCAUUACUUCUUGUAUUUUGUAAAAAUUAGUGCAUAUGUCAUGGGCCUAGGGAGACAUCCAUUGCAGGGAAAUGGGAGUAGGGCAUUCCCAGUUUUAGCUAUAAAUGAAAAUUAUUCUUAGGGACCAAAAUGCCAUGGAAUAAUUCUGCCUUUUCU